GGCCAUAGCUCAGUGGUUGAGCAUCUACCUUUGCAUGCAGAAGUUCCCAGGUUCAAUGCCCAGGAUCUCCUUGUGGGGCUG